rnacentral:tRNA from 1 species
ACAUGGAUGGCAGAGUCAGGCUGAUUGCGGUGGUCUUGAAAACCACAUAUCCAGAAAUGGGUACUAGGGUUCAAAUCCCUAUCCAUGUG